UACGGAGGGUGCAAACAGUUGCUCGGAAUCAUUUGGGCGUAAAGGCGCAAGCGUAGGCGGUCCGGAAAGUCGGGUGAUGAAAUCCCUCGGCUCAAACCGACGGGAAGUGCUAUUCGGAAAGCUUCCGGACUUGAAUAUGGAAGAGGGUCGCGGAAUUCCCGGUGUGAGAGGUAGAAAUUCGUAGAUAUCGGGAGGAACAGCCAGUAGGCGAAGGCGGCGACCUGGGCCCAAGAUAUUCGGAGCGCUAGGAGGGUGCGAAAGGACCAGUUGGGGAG
rnacentral:rRNA from 1 species